AGCCAAGCGCGGACGGAUACACAGAAUCAGCUGAUUGUGUUUACUCUCGAGAAUUUGGGAAACUUCGACCCGUGUUUAGCAAAACAUGGUGUCAGAAAGGACAGCAUAAUGAGAACCUCCAUGCCAGAGUGAACUAGCUUAAUUAAGUCACGAAUAGACCAAAACGACGUUGACGAGAGGAACGAUUUGAUCAUGAACUGAGUUUUAUAUUGGAUUUGGAUACCUCUUUGGUGACGACUGCAUAAUGAAACAAGAUCAGGGACAGGAAAUGGAACGAUAAAUAGAUUGAAGACAUAUAUAUAUAUAACAAUUGUCAGAGUCUCUUGACAAUGUUAUCCUCACCUGUCCAAGUCCCAUUACAAGGGAUUUGAGAUAGCCUCACCGUCACCAUGGAUCCAGAGUGAUGUAGCAGAUGGAACCCACGCAUAGUGAUUGAAGAAUAUUUACUAUUCCUUCACCAUGGGAUCGACUCAAGUCCCUCCAACGGGGGCCCAGAGCGAGGGCGUCCCGGUAGCUAUCACGUGGGUUGGCCAGGAUCGCCUGCGGCCGACUCACCUCCGAGCAACAUUGACGCGACUGUUGCAGCGUGAGACCGAGGAAUGGGAGCCUGUCACCUUCAGCUACAUAACAGGAGAGAUGUUUUCACAAUAUGAGGAAGG
rnacentral:lncRNA from 1 species